GUGCUCACUUUGGCAGCACAUAUACUAAAAUUGGAACAAUGCAAAGAUUAGCAUGGCCCCUGCACAAGGAUGACAUGCAAAUUCGUGAAACAUUCCAUAUUUUC
rnacentral:snRNA from 1 species